GGUAGAGAUAGAAGGGGGAGAGAAGGAGAGGUAGAGAUAGAAGGGACAGAGAAGGAGAGGUAGAGAUAGAAGGGGGAGAGAAGGAGAGGUAGAGAUAGAAGGGACAGAGAAGGAGAGGUAGAGAUAGAAGGGGGAGAGAAGGAGAGGUAGAGAUAGAAGGGGGAGAGAAGGAGAGGUAUGUGGAGUAAAUGAUAAUAAAGUGCACGGAAGACAAUCCUCCUCUCAUCUCUAGGGACCAUCAUGUCCCCAUAUCUGUGGAGACCCCUAGAAAAAAGUAUAUUUUAAAAACUGGAAGAUGAAAAAAAAAUCAAUUAAUGUUUGGAAUCUCUUCAGGGAGGCCAACUGUUAAUUAUUCACGUAGUUUUUCUCCAGUUAAAUGCAUUCUUAGCCGACUAAAGCUUUG
ensembl:lncRNA